UGGCAACAAUACGUUGAUUGCAAUGGUGCCUUUUUGAUUAAUAAAGGGGUGUUUGAGCCUAGUUAUAAUGGUUUAAAAUUCAUGGUCCAAAACCACAGUUACUUUUGCACCAAC
rnacentral:miRNA from 1 species